AAGUCCUAUAACGAGCGNAACCCCUGUUGUUAGUUGCCAGCGAGUAAUGUCGGGAACUCUAGCAAGACUGCCGGUGCAAACCGCGAGGAAGUGGGGAUGACGUCAAAUCAUCACGGCCCUUACGUCCUGGGCCACACACGUGCUACAAUGGCCGGUACAGAGAGCAGCCACUCCGCGAGGAGGAGCGAAUCUAUAAAACCGGUCUCAGUUCGGAUCGCAGUCUGCAACUCGACUGCGUGAAGCUGGAAUCGCUAGUAAUCGGAUAUCAGCCAUGAUCCGGUGAAUACGUUCCCGGGCCUU
rnacentral:rRNA from 1 species